UACGAAGGGUCCAAGCGUUGUUCGGAAUCAUUGGGCGUAAAGCGCGCGCAGGCGGAUCAGUAAGUCAGGUGUGAAAUCUCGAGGCUCAACCUCGAAAUUGCGCCUGAAACUACUAGUCUAGAAUGUCGGAGGGGGCAGGGGAAUUUCACGUGUAGGGGUAAAAUCCGUAGAGAUGUGAAGGAACACCGGAGGCGAAGGCGCCUGCCUGGACGACUAUUGACGCUGAGGCGCGAAAGCGUGGGGAGCAAACAGG
rnacentral:rRNA from 1 species